UGAAGAGGAGCGUUUGUGCAAUGCUUGGGAAUUUGGAUGGAAAAAUCUGCAUCUGGAGGUGGGGAAAUAUGCAAGGGAAAGUCAGCGGUGAAAUAUUUCCCCUGCGCCAUGUGAGAGAGAGAGAGAGAGAACCACAUUCAAACAAACACACGACAUGCUUUCCUUUGCAAAGUUAGAGCAAGUGACAUGGUUGUGGUGCAUCCAUGUGUUCUAGAACCCCACUAUCAAGUUGUGGAAGGAGGAUUGCAGCACUCACAUGUCUGCUUGCGCUUGAAAAUCUUGUUGGACUCGUGCCACACGGUCUUGCAGUCCUCCUGCAGCCGGUAGAAGCGAGUCUUCUGCCAGGACCGGGACCGAACCUUGGUCAGCGUGCCGCCGGCCAGCAGGAACUGCAGAUCCGGGUCGCCGUCCAAACCUGGGGGUAAAGGGGAGAAAAUGUCGAUAUUAGAACUAAUAUAGAAUAUGCCAGAUCUCGUUAGCAUUAUACAUUGGUUCACUUCACUUGGCAUUUUUUUCUCAUGUUGUUUUGAUGUUUUAUUAAUUUGAACAACUUGGAAGUCAAUCGAUGUCGCAGAACGGAUUGUGUUCCACUUUUCUGAUUUAUUUUAUUUUUUUAACACAUGUAAAUGCAUUUACCACAAUUUGAAUCCUUCCCGGCUGUGUGUCUAAUUACUGUCAUUGUAACCUGGUCAUACUACAGUAUUAUGCAGAAGUGAAUCAUUUCUUGGAUUAAAAAAAAAAAAACACACCAUCACAGUCACAUGGCUUCAAUGUAGUUCUGCAUUCAGCACUAUGUAUGAUCUUUUAAUAUGGAAUUAGAGAUGAGCAGUGGCUUACGAUCAAAGGGCUGAUCUCGGCGCUUACGAAAAGGCGUGCGAGGAGUCUGCUGAAAAUGAGUCCAGACUUACUGACAACCGUCAUGAGGUCAACAAGACGACAUGGCUGUAUUUAUACUGCAAGGGGUCGCAGGUGAGCCGGAGCCCAUCCCAGCUGAGUUUUGUCGACCGUGCACACCGCUUGCCAGUGAAUUGCAAGGCACAAAACGCAUUCAUACCGACGGACACAUGUAGAGUCUUCGAUGACCCCCGAACAUGCAUGUUCUUGGAAUGUGGGAGGAUGCUGCACUGCGGGAAACGUAUAGACAAACAACAAUUCCCCCUCUUAUGUACAACUAUGGACAUUUUACAGACCUCAAUUAACCUAACGUGCAUGUUUUUGGGAUGUGGACUCCCAAUGUGUAGCUACAAAAUGUCAUAAACACUGUAAACGUCAAGGGUGAUGCCACCAUGAAAGGGUGUCAAAGGGGGAGUAUUUUUACUUUAUUGGACUUUUAUUACAAUGCUGUUAACAUGUCUUGGACCGCGCAUGACUGUUAAUAAUGCUAAAAUGUUAAUUAAAAUCCACCCAGGGAUGAAUUGAA